UCUGGUGGCUCAAUCGGAUAGAGCGUUGGACUUCUAAUCCAAAGGUUGCGGGUUCAAGUCCCGCCCAGAG
rnacentral:tRNA from 1 species